rnacentral:lncRNA from 1 species
AGGGUUUCACUCUGUUUCCCAGGCUAGAGUGCAGUGGUGCGAUCUUGGCUCACUGCAACCUCUGCCUCCUGGGUUCAAGCAAUUCUCCUGCCUCAGUCUCCCAUGUAGCUGCGAUUACAGGCACUCGCCACCACACCCGGCUAAUUUUUGUAUUUUUAGUAGAGACGGGGUUUUAACAUGUUGGUCAGGCUGGUCUUGAACUCCUGACCUUGUGAUCCACCCACCUCGGCCUCCC